rnacentral:rRNA from 1 species
GACGAACGCUGGCGGCGUGCCUAAUACAUGCAAGUAGAACGCUGAAGAGAGGAGCUUGCUCUUCUUGGAUGAGUUGCGAACGGGUGAGUAACGCGUAGGUAACCUGCCUUGUAGCGGGGGAUAACUAUUGGAAACGAUAGCUAAUACCGCAUAACAAUGGAUGACACAUGUCAUUUAUUUGAAAGGGGCAAUUGUUCCACUACAAGAUGGACCUGCGUUGUAUUAGCUAGUAGGUGAGGUAAUGGCUCACCUAGGCGACGAUACAUAGCCGACCUGAGAGGGUGAUCGGCCACACUGGGACUGAGACACGGCCCCGACUCCUACGGGAGGCAGCAGUAGGGAAUCUUCGGCAAUGGGGGCAACCCUGACCGAGCAACGCCGCGUGAGUGAAGAAGGUUUUCGGAUCGUAAAGCUCUGUUGUAAGUCAAGAACGGGUGUGAGAGUGGAAAGUUCACACUGUGACGGUAGCUUACCAGAAAGGGACGGCUAACUACGUG